ACCCAGCUGAUGAGUCUCAAAUAGAACGAAACGCGCUUCCUGGAU
rnacentral:hammerhead_ribozyme from 1 species